rnacentral:rRNA from 1 species
CCAGCAGCCGCGGUAAUACGUAGGGGGCGAGCGUUAUCCGGAUUUACUGGGUGUAAAGGGUUCGUAGGCGGUGUGGCAAGUCGGGAGUGAAAUCUCCCGGCUCAACUGGGAGGGUGCGCCGAAUACUGAAUGACUCGAGUGCGGGAGAGGAAAGUGGAAUUCCUGGUGUAGCGGUGAAAUGCGUAGAUAUCAGGAGGAACACCGGUGGUGUAGACAGCUUUCUGGACCAUAACUGACGCUGAGACACGAAAGCGUGGGGAGCAAACAGGAUUAGAUACCCUGGUA